rnacentral:rRNA from 1 species
UACGUAGGUGGCAAGCGUUGUCCGGAAUUAUUGGGCGUAAAGCGCGCGCAGGCGGUUCCUUAAGUCUGAUGUGAAAGCCCCCGGCUCAACCGGGGAGGGUCAUUGGAAACUGGGGAACUUGAGUACUGAAGAGGAAAGCGGAAUUCCACGUGUAGCGGUGAAAUGCGUAGAGAUGUGGAGGAACACCAGUGGCGAAGGCGGCUUUCCGGUCAGUAACUGACGCUGAGGCGCGAAAGCGUGGGGAGCAAACAGG